GAUGGCAUUGUACUAAGCUCUUCAGUUACUGCGGGAUGGCUAAGGUCCUGUGCAUCUCAUGCCACCUGACACCUGGGACAGGCAGUACUGCAUAUGGAAGCCUGGGCAGGACAAGUAUGCCCCGGGAACUGCCCAUCUGCCUGUAAGGUAGGCUUCCCAGUGGCGGCACCACAUGACCUGAAGGAUCUUGAAAGGAUACACAAGACAGCUGUGGAGCUCAUCACAAGGCGUGGAAGCACUGAGGCCAGGCAGGGUCAUCAGGGCAGGGCUGGCGGAGUGGACAGGUGACCAGUGACAGUGUGAUCCUACGCUAAGCACUGGGGGCUUAUUCUGGAGGCAAUGGGAAGAUGUGGCUUGGUGAAAGGCUUGGUGAAAGCCCUCUGGCGGCAGGGUGGGGUGGACGUGGAGGCCAUCCCACCAGUUUGUCCUGGUCUCACUGGCAUGUCGGCCAGGUCUCCCUCUGUCGUGCUGCUCUCCUGCAACUGUGGUGUUUUACACACCUCACUGACUGGUCUGGCAAGGCGCACAGCAACCACAGUGGGAUCCAUGCUCACUGGACUCCACCUGCUCCCGAUCCAUCCACAACCAGCCCAGGGAGACAGGUUGUCUCUUCUCAGACUCACUUGAGGCUGAAAUGCCUCAGGAACAGGAUACCGGCUCUUCACCCAUGGGACGGCCCCCACCUUAUGGCUCCUCAGCCUCACCCUGGUUAGGAGUGGGGGGUGGAGGGAAGGACACAGGUGAACGGGGCUCUUGAGGUUGGAAUGAAUUUUUAAAGAGAUGUUUGGGAAGAACAACUGACGAGUACCACGUGGUGUGCAUGGGAGCAGGGUGGGGAGCCAGGUCAAUGCGGUCUGACCCCAAGAGGAUAAAAACCCAACACUGGAAACUGCACCAAGACGAGUCAAUCCUGUGAGGCCAGAGACUGAGCAGACUCCCUCUGAGCGGGGAGGAAACACUGCUGGGUGUGAACUAUGGACCAGUGGCUCAACGGGGAGGCCACACAAGGGGCUAUGCCAUCCAUGGGUACAGUUUUCCCGGCCAAUGGCCCCUGACAAGUAAUUACCGCACCCGCCCUACCGUGCUGGGGCCCGGAACCUGGUCUCUCCUCCAGCACUGGGAACACUUGGGCAAGCUCUUCUUCCAGAGGGCCCUGACAUAAGACAAAAAGUGAACUUACUGAAGAACUCUGGCUCAGUGAACUUGGCAAUGAAUGAAUUGAGCCCUAGGUGGAUUAAGAAUGAAUGAGCCCUAGGUGGAUUAAAAAAAGAUUAUAAUUCAGUCCUUUAUACAGCUUAACAUGAAUAAAUAGACAUUCUUAACAAAGUGAGGUCCCCAAAUGCCUUCAUCACUGUUUUUUUUUAAUCACUGGGCUUUUUGAAGAAAUUUUUUCAAACCACAAUUCUUUCAAUUCAUCAGUUUUGGUAACCCACAGAAACCCAGGGCAUGAGUGGGGCCUGUGCACCACGGAAGCCUGUGAAUUAGCCGCUGUUACUUUGAGGGAGGAAAGGGGAGUAACAGAUGCUCUCAUUUUACAGGUUCUUUGGCAAAGGGAAAGGAAAAAACGUUAUUUUGCCAAGACUGUUAGCAUUUUGCUAGACACACUUUCAUGAAGAAUAAUGAACUUAUGGCAAACCUGACUUUCCAAGGAGAAACAUUUUUAAGUGGAUGAAGUGAAAACACUCCUGGAAUAGACUGUACUUGCUGGAAGAGUUUCAUUAAAGGCUGCAAUUGGUGGCUAACCAGUUUUACAAAUGGUUGGAAGUUUACAUUAAAAAAAUUCUGGUAGAUUCUGAUAUAUCUGCAACAAGUCUGAUUUUGUAGGAAUUUGCGAUUUUUUUUUCACAUCAACUUCUUCAAAGGCUGUGAGAGGUAACAGAGCAACCCUAGAGAACAGCGGGCGUGUCCUUUGAACAAGUUUAAUAGAUCUUACAGAUGGCCACUGCCUGGAGUUUGUUUGCCCUCUGGGAUUUUUUGUUAUUGUUGUUGUUGAACUCCGGAGCCCAGCAGAAGGGCUGUUCCAUCUGUUUCCGAUGCCAUUGGAGGAAGGCAUGCUGGCUCUGCUGCCAGGUGGCCCAGGACUCUGUGGACUGGUCUGGCUGCAGCCAAGACCUGACUAGCAUGCUUUUGCCUCCCGUACCCACGACGGUGUGGAAGUUUGGCAGAUUAAGGGCACAGGAAAUAUGAAACGUUUAAACUAGUAAAUAGCAAGGUAUAUAUUCCUUUUAAAGACUGUAUGUUCAAACUAUUUUAGCUCCUGCAAAUGCUCUACCAGCUCUCUGCAAAGCUUUCUCAUUUACUUCUGUCACACGACUGCUUUAGCAGGUGCCAAACCUGGCUUCAUCUGCAAUGGCAGAAAUCACGAACAGCCCUCUGAGCCUGUCAGUGCUUGUAAAUGAUAGUAGAUGAAACAGGGGGUCUUGAUAAACAGAACCCAAGGCACUGCCCCGAGCCAGAGCUCUGCCAACACUCCAAAUACAGUAAAUGAAAACACAGAUGAGAAGCAAGGGACACAGACGCGUUAGCACUUGACACUGGAGUCAUACACUCGCCCCAGCUCCUUAUGAAGACUUUGAAGGGAGGUAAUUUGCAGGUGGUAUGCUUGAGGGAAGGGGAGAUGUGAGCCUUUCCUUCUGACAGGUCUAUCCUGGAACUGUUUCCUCCUGAGUACGCCUGAAAAACAUGCUGCCGACCCAUCAAAUUCUAAGCAGCAGAGUUAUGGGGACACAAGUGGACAUCGGAGAAAUCUUGGAGCUUCACGUCCCAAGGGCCUGCUCUACUCCUGUCUGGCUCAGUAUACCCAUCCUGGGAAGAGGAGAAAUCUACUAUCACCGGGCUGGUGGAACACAUGAACCAGAACCUGAAGUGUUCCUUUGGCCUAAGUGGGGAGGAGACCUCAAGAAACCAAAAAGUCCUGGAAAUCAGGGUUCUGCAGCCACUAAAAGAUGCUAUGCCGCUCCCCCACCCCACCCCCCCUCCCUGGCCAAGUAGGCAGCACAACAUCAGUUCUCUGCCUCAAUGGGCCAGGCUGGAUGGUGUUCUUAACAAGAUGGGGUAAGGGGCAGGGCUCUGAGGGAUUUCCAUUGGACAGAGAGGGAUGAUUCUGUCACACAGAGAGGUCAUUUUUGAAGAAUUACUAGAUCUCUGAUAAGCAAAGUUAUUUGUCUAUCAGAAUCCAGAACAGCUGUCCCUUCCAUUCCUUUACCUACAACACCCGUUAUUUCCAUUCACCCGUGGGCGCUGACAUCACUUCUUCACCUCCAUCUGCACCGCCAGCUGUGCAGCCUGGGAGCUGCCCCAACAGCUGUGAGGGGCGUCAGGACUCAGGAAGACUGACCUCAUAAUCAGACUGUAUUACAAAUUAAGAACAACAAUCCAGACUGGGCAGAUGGAAGACGGGGGAAUCCAGAGGUCAAAGGAGGCUGUCAGUGAACUGGAGUGCGCCAGGCAGGCAGCAGUUUUCUUACCCAGCAUGGGCCUGUUGGAAUAUGGAUGGCUACGUGCUGCUGCUGCUUCUGAUUCCUGGCCCCCAGACCGCCCGGAACCACAGCAGUCUCAGAAAGCCACAGGUACUGUCUCAGUGACUUCACACACUGGUGGCUGAUUACUGAGGUAUCCCUCCUGUCCCUCAGUACAUGAGGCUCUGACUCUCUGGCAUUGCCCACUGGCUCACAACGACAAGACUGCUGUGGAAACACCAAGUCCCUGGCUGGUCUGGGUUCCCACCAGUUUCCUCUGGGCAGCAUGUGAGAAAGAGCUCCCUGCCUUUUUCCUUUCCUUUUUCUUUUUCAGGUAUCAUCCAGAUCUAGCGUCCAAGGGUUCCAAGACUUCCUCAUCCCAUCUGGACCCAAAAGCAAGAGCUGAUUUUUAAAAGUCAAAUUCUUGUUUCAUUUGGACAGAAGGAAUAAUGUGUCUUUCAUAUUUUCUUUGUAUUUCUCUUCAAUAGUUGCUUGACCCAAUAUCUGUCUGCUCUAUACAAUGAAAAUACAAACUAAAUGAGAAUAGAAAAAAAUAAUUAAAGCAUUAAAUUGUACAAAUUACAAAUCUGUUCCAAAAUAUACUUACAUUAAAUAAAAUACGCAUUUCAGUAAGA